GGGGAUAUGGCUCAGUGGUAGAGCUCUUGCCUAGCAUGGGAAAGGCUUGGAUUCAAUCUCCAACACCUCCC
rnacentral:tRNA from 1 species